rnacentral:rRNA from 1 species
UACGUAGGGGGCUAGCGUUGUCCGGAAUCAUUGGGCGUAAAGCGCGCGUAGGCGGCCCGGUAAGUCCGCUGUGAAAGUCAAAGGCUCAACCUUUGAAUGUCAGCGGAUACUGCCGGGCUAGAGUCCGGAAGAGGCGAGUGGAACUCCUGGUGUAGCGGUGGAAUGCGCAGAUAUCGGGAGGAACACCUAUGGCGAAGGCAGCUCGCUGGGACGUUACUGACGCUGAGACGCGAAAGCGUGGGGAGCAAACAGG